UACGUAGGGGGCAAGCGUUGUCCGGAAUCAUUGGGCGUAAAGCGCGUGUAGGCGGUUCGGUAAGUCGGCUGUGAAAGUCCAGGGCUCAACCCUGGGAUGCCGGUCGAUACUGCCGGACUAGAGUUCGGAAGAGGCGAGUGGAAUUCCCGGUGUAGCGGUGAAAUGCGUUGAUAUCGAUAGGAACUCCGGUGGCGAAGGCGGCAUACUGGACCACUACUGACGCUGAUGCGCGAAAGCCAGGGGAGCAAACGGG
rnacentral:rRNA from 1 species